ACCGCCCGUGGCCGCCGGGCGCGCGUCCCGCGUUUCUCCCGUCUCUCCGCUAGGCAGCUGCUUUUCUCACGUGCUGUACGAAUGAAGCUUUCCGCAGUUCUCAUCUUCUGCUAAUACUGAAGCCUGUGAUUUGUUCGAAGUGGUAAUUUUCUUUUUAGGAAUCCAUGAAAGCUGUUUGGCUUAACUUAAACGCUGAUUGAGUGUCCUGGUUAUUUAAAGCAUAAUCUGUAAUCUGAUUUUAUUUUAAUACUAGGGUCAGUGUGGCCAAUCACUAACUCGCUUUCUUAACUCACCCAUUUCCAUUGCUAACUCCGGGGCUCCUAAUUUCGCUGACCAGGGUGCUGUAGAUUCCGUUAGAAUCAACCUAAACGCCUUCAAGGGACGUGGUGCAUCAGACAGAACUCAUCUAGAGAACAGGCCCAGAGCAGGAGCGUCAGGUGUCUGUCCUCCGUGUCCCUCCUCGGUCCAGAGCGCUGAGGGGCUGGUGGCUCCCUGUUCCCCACAGUUCGCUGCCCGAGCUUCGGGGGUCCAGAGCACGUCCCGUGUUUGUCAUGUGUCAGCCCCUGGCCAGGCCCCACCUCUGGGCUCCACCAGUCUGCUUUCGUGGACGUUCCCAGCACCACUGCUCACCCAGAGCAUGUGGCCUUGUGGCCGGUUUCUUUCCAGGCCACUUUUGUGACACGUGGGUAGCUUUUUGUGCAUUAAGCUGGUUUCUUUGGGAUUUUGUUUUUAUCGGGGAAAGUUGCGUGCAGGGUUAGCUUAACGCUUCCAGAGGCACUGCCAGGUUUUUUCCGAAGCCACGGACGCGUGGUUUUGGUUGUAAUGGUGCAGGUGUUUUGUGAGGUCGUUUUGGGCUUUCCUUUAGUCUGUUUCGGAAUCUGUUUAUUCUUCGGCAUUUUCUGUGGCUGCAGCAGUUCGGUAGGGGCCAGUAGUGUGAACAGACGUUUUGCAGAGUGGUAGUGGCCAGAAUUUCUGGCAGAAUGCCUUCUUGUAUCUUUACCUGGCAGCUUCCUCGCUUCGGGUUUUCCUGUGCCCGGACAGCCAGUCAGCGUCUGCUCUGGCCGUCCUCCCCGUCGGGCGGUAGUCCAGAAUGAGAACGGUGGUGCGCGGUGCUCGCCUCGUCCCUGUCCCACACUGUGUGCCGUGCUCGCCCCGUGACCCUGCCUGCUGUGUGGGGUCAGGUCCCUUCUCCAGGCUCUAGGUGCCAGGGUGUGGGUGUCGAUGCUCUUGAAUGAAGCUCCACAGGAACUUUCUCUCGAGACAGUAUUACUGGGUCAGUCUCUCUAGGAAAUCACACGAUAGUGGAACUGUUGGUGACUGGAGCUGCCGUUAUCUCCCCGUGGAGGGCCGGUGGGCGGAAGUACGGGCGAGUGGGCAGGCGCGGUCUCUCGGCUGAGUGCGCACCUGCUCCUUGUUUCACUCCGCAUUUCCUUCUCUUCGGAUGUGCUGUCCCUUAGGACGCUCACACACUAGGCUUUGGACACUUUUUCACCUGAGCGUUAGACACUACUGGCCCUGCAUCUUUGACAGAAUCUGUCCCAGGGCAGACCGAGGGGCCGUGGGGUCGAUUGAAAUGAGCCAGCUCUUGGGGCGUCCUGUGCAGAGGUUCCUAAGGUCACUUUCAGAGGUGGAAGGGGCCUUUUCUUCAAAUGGAGGGGUAACGGAAGGCAGCCAUGAACAGAGGGCUGACUCUCUGCCUUAACCGGGUAACCGGGGAGGGGCAGCGGGGGGCCGGAGCUCUCCCCGCAGGCCACCCCCAUUGACCGCUCAGACUCAGGCCGCUGCCACCCUUGUGGGAAGGCCUUGGCUCCAGACUGGUCUCCUUCAAGUGCCGAGGCUCUCCCAGACCUUGACGUGAAUUUUAUUUUUAAAGCAUACUUUCACUGUUUAAAAAAGAGGCAAUAAAGGCAUAUGCACACUUAGGUGCUUUUUUAAAAUCGGCUUUAUAGCGGUAUGGUUGUAGACAGCCGAAGGAGCCCCUUUUAAGGGUCACGUCUGAGUUAAGUGCUACCUGGGCGGCCGGCACGGCAGCCGUGUCCAGGGCCGAGGCGCGCCCCUCCCCGAGGCGUUGGGCAGCGGGUAGGGGGUAGGUCCGUUCCGUUUGCAGGGCCUUUGCACGCGGCACGGUUUCGUCCGUGUCGUGCAGCGGAGAGGAAGCUCGCAGAGGUCGGCUGGGAGGCGGGGGACGUGAAGACGGCCCCGUCACCGUCACCGUCGCUCCCAGUUCAGACUGGGCUCGCACGGGGAGAGUCGGCGCUCUUCCUGAGAACCUGUUACACAGUUGUAACGAGAGAAUGCCCUUUAGAUUUUUUUAUAUUGGGCUUCCUCGUUGGGUUUUAAUUUUUUCAAAAAGAGUUUCAGAGCUCUUUGAAACGUCUGGGGACUGCCACCCCAGGGAGCACGUCGCGUGGCCGCGUGGGCAGGGGCUGGGGGCAGCCGACAGCCCCGCUCAGCCGUCCCGGCCGUUUGCACAGCUCAGGCGGGGUUUUUCUCAGCAUUCAGAAAUAGCAUUUAAAACGGGGCAGUGAGGCCGAGUCAGCACGUAGCCGAGCUGUGCGCCAUUAAAACGUAAGGAGAGAGAGGUUACUGGGCAUAAUCUGAUAAUUAACGUGAAGGUUUUAAUCAAAGCCUUGACGCGGUGGGAGAUUUGUUCAGGGAAGUACAAUUCUGUUCUUUUAAGCAAUGCUUGCGAUUCAAGUGUGUGAAGAGACAACUUCCUCAGACUUAUGUUUGUAUGGCAUGCAGAUCUCAAAGUCCUUGUCCAGAGCUCUGAGUUGUGCUCCUGAGGGUGCAGAGGCGGUGUGUGCGGGCCCCCGUUCCCUCACGCACGUGGCAGCUUGUUCACAGUGGGCCUGUAUGCGUGGGCGCUGCCACCGGGUCCCCACCGGCUCACGCGCCCCCGAGCUGCGCUGUGGUUAUGUCCACGUGUUUGUGGCAGUCCCCAGUCCAGGAAGAAGCACCACGUGCCCGCAUCCGGUGGCGCUGAGAUCCCGCUGGCCGCUCCCGGCCGCGCGUUCCUGCCGGACCGUUGGGCUGCCCACCUCCGCUGGGGCCUUCGGGGUGACCCCCAGCCCCGGCUCUUUCCACACUGCUCCUCUUGCUGUGUUUCUAAAAGCUUCGACUGCACUAAACUCUUAACCGGGAUGGCUGAGAGUCAGGUAUAGUUAAUUAGAAAUAGAUUGAUUUUAACUUAAAAAAUUGUAUUAGGAAGACAACUAGAAUAUACCCCAAAAAUAAAAAACCCAAACCACCAGAAAUCUAAGACCGUAGUUAACCAAUACGUUCACUGUUUAUUUCGUUAGAAACUCACUUUUUGGUGAAAGUCCUCUUUCACGGCAGGAGGCAGAAUGACCGUUUCGCAGCGUGUUAGGAUGUGGUGAGGCCCUCCUGUCCAUGUUGAGGGGGGCCCAUGGGGCUCGGCGGGUUCGGGACUCUCCGUGUGGUGAGCCCAAGGGGUGGGCACACCUGCUUCACUGUCCCCAGGCACUGCCCAGGGCCAGGGCCAGACGGGGGUGUGUGUGUGCGACACGGGGCCCCUUCAGAGUAUCUGGGACAUGAGCGUCAGAACUGACCCUCCCGCAGGGCUGCGGGAGGUUUGCACGAAUGGCAGGAAUUGUACUGUUGAUUGGAUCCUGUUAACACUUUUUAAAACAUCUUUCUGAAGAGCAGCAAGAGCUUAUGUUUUCUUGUGCUCCCAGCGUCCAUGGGGGAGUCGGUAACGAGUUCUAUUUUUCCAUUUUAAAGAUGAGGAAAACGAAGCUCGGGCUGGUUAAAUGACCUGCUCGGCGUCCCCCGGCCUAGCUGCCUUGUGUGACUCUCGCUGUCUGCUGCAUGACGGGCAGCACCUCCUCCAGCUCCUCCUCUCUCCGUGCUGACUGCUGUGCUUAGCGACCCUAGGAGUCUUGUCAGAGCGCCACCUCUCUGUGACUGGCCAUUCCUUUCGGUGCUGCUGUCCUUUUGGGGGGUUCCUUAUCUCUGUAUACUUGUAGCUUUGCCGGAUAUGUACUUAGUAUUAUCAACUGUAUUAAUAAAAACCACUUACUGUGUGAUAACAUGAGUGUAAAAAUGAAGAGCGAUUAGCUGUUCCCUUUGGUAGAAGGUAGUCACAGUGUCCCGCAGGCGUCACGGCACUGGCAUGAUGGUGACCGCUGACACUAGCUAGGCUGUAUGAGUAGGGCAUGUGCUGUUCCCGUUGUCCUCCGAGGCCCGGCGGGGCCCCCCGGGCUCGGGGCUCCCCUCAGCAUCGCACUCCAGUAGCACCCGCUCUUGGUCUGUGUGGGGUCCUGGCGGUUCCGCUUCUCUCUACUAAUCUCUACGUGUCGAGUGGUUUGUGUACCUGUGUCUUUCUAACUUCUAAUAAACUCACUCCAACUGACCUGUGUCUCGGUGUCUGUCUGCUUAGAACUCACUCUUGCCAUGCAAUGCAGCAUCGCGUAGCUUCUAGAAGGAACGGGCUUCUGUUAAUCUUACUAAGUGAUUCACUCUGAAAAUAAAAGUUGCUAUACACUCAUUUUUUGCUGUGUGUUUUGAUUUUCAUACUGCCAAAUGUUCCGUUUAUUAAUGUCUGAUUCAGUUAUGAUGAAAGCUGGGUACUCGCUUGCUUUUUACAAGGUGUCUGAGAGUUUUGAGUUAUUGUAUAGGAUGUGAAUUUUAUUUAAUUUUCCAACUACAUUUGUAAUCAACAUUUAAUAAAACUUAAAAUUUACCCAAGAAACAGUACAUCGAAGUAUCACAUUUAGAUGAAAUUGUUAAAAAGAAGUUGCCUCUGUCGAAUAUAAAUGUUUUCGGUCCCAUCCCGUCAUGUGGACCAGACGGUUCCAUAUUUAUUAAAUGUGCAAUCUGAUUUUGGUGAUA